GGAAAGAAUGCCCAUUACUCUCUAGGGAGAAGAAAGGAUCAGGCUGACCUUGUGGGUAAACCUUUGCACCAGUUUAACGUACUGUCUUCAUGGUUUCUCCUGGUGAGUGUACAGUUGGCACUGGUGUUAUACACAAAUGUGCUGUGUGUUCAUAAACACCAAAGGGAGUUAUACCAAUCAGGAAUUGCAGCAUAUAGAGAUGUGCUCUUAUCUUCAGGACCCCAGAAUCCUAGUGACUUUGAGCUAAACAUGUUUGGUUGUUCAUUUUGCUGUAUGGAACAUGUGUCCAAGAGAGGCAGUGUCCACCUGAAGUGCCCCUAUAGGGGUGUUGAAUUUGUUACCUCCUUGAUGUGGCUAAGAAGUAAGUAUGCUCCUUUUGAAAAGCAGUUCCUAGCUUGCUACUGGGUUUUCAUCAAAACUGAACACCUCACAAUACCUAAACUAUGGAACCAACACAGAUACCCUCAACAGAUGAAUGGAUAAAUAAAACAUGGUAUAUAUGCACAAUGGGAUAUUAAUCAGCCUUAAAGAAGAAUGAAUUUGGCAUUUGCAGGUAAAUGGAUAGAGCUGGAGAAUAUCAUGCUUAAGUGAAAUAAGCCUAUCACAAAAAAUAUAAAGGCCCAAUGUUUUCUCUAAUAUGCAGAUGCUAAUUCACAAUGUGGGGUGGCUAGGGGAAAAUAGAGGUACUUUGCAUUAGAGGUGAGCGAAGGGAGGGUAGGAAAGAUAGUAGAAUGAAUCAGACAUUAUUACCUUAUAUGCAUAUUAUGAUUAUACAACCAGUGUAAUUCUACAUUAUGUACAACCAGAAGAAUGAGAUGUUAUGCUCCAUUUAUGUAUGAUGUGUCAAAAUGCAUUCUACCGUCAUGUAUAACUAAUUAGAACAAAUAAAAAACUGAACACCAGAGAAAGUAUGUCA
rnacentral:lncRNA from 1 species